GAGUGAACGCUGGCGGUAGGCCUAACACAUGCAAGUCGAACGGCAGCACAGUAAGAGCUUGCUCUUACGGGUGGCGAGUGGCGGACGGGUGAGGAAUACAUCGGAAUCUACUUUUUCGUGGGGGAUAACGUAGGGAAACUUACGCUAAUACCGCAUACGACCUACGGGUGAAAGCAGGGGAUCUUCGGACCUUGCGCGAUUGAAUGAGCCGAUGUCGGAUUAGCUAGUUGGCGGGGUAAAGGCCCACCAAGGCGACGAUCCGUAGCUGGUCUGAGAGGAUGAUCAGCCACACUGGAACUGAGACACGGUCCAGACUCCUACGGGAGGCAGCAGUGGGGAAUAUUGGACAAUGGGCGCAAGCCUGAUCCAGCCAUACCGCGUGGGUGAAGAAGGCCUUCGGGUUGUAAAGCCCUUUUGUUGGGAAAGAAAAGCAGCAGGUUAAUACCCCGCUGUUCUGACGGUACCCAAAGAAUAAGCACCGGCUAACUUCGUGC
rnacentral:rRNA from 1 species